CGGCCCCGCAAAGCUGACUUGUGGGGCAGGAACAGCUAAUAAGCAAAACAGAACCUGAAUGGAAUCAUGAAAAUUCUAGUGGCAAAGUGUAUGCUGGAAUGUAAAUGGUGAUAUUCUCUUAAAGUUUUAAGCAGCAAGCUGAAAUGCAACUGAUGCAGUGUGAUGUCAUGCCCUGAAACUUAAAAGUAAAUAGCUUUUGAGAAUUGGAGAAGAUUGAGAGAAUACCUACGCUGCCUCCACUAAAAGACUGGAAACUGUAAGUCAGCUUGCUGCCUUAGUGAGUGGGGGAAAAAAAUUACAUAUACUACCCAGAAGAUCUCUGUCAGCACAAAAUAACCAACAUAGGAGCAACUCUACAGCCAAAAGAAUUCCUUUGUGAGUCUUAGCUAAUGUUGUUUGUGGAAGG
ensembl:lncRNA